rnacentral:rRNA from 1 species
GACGAACGCUGGCGGCGUGCUUAACACAUGCAAGUCGAACGGUGAAGCUCCAGCUUGCUGGAAUGGAUCAGUGGCGAACGGGUGAGUAACACGUGAGCAACCUGCCCCAGACUCUGGAAUAAGCGCUGGAAACGGCGUCUAAUACUGGAUACGAGAUCAAGCCGCAUGGUUAUGGUCUGGAAAGUUUUUCGGUUUGGGAUGGGCUCGCGGCCUAUCAGCUUGUUGGUGAGGUAAUGGCUCACCUAGGCGACGACGGGUAGCCGGCCUGAGAGGGCGACCGGCCACACUGGGACUGAGACACGGCCCAGACUCCUACGGGAGGCAGCAGUGGGGAAUAUUGCACAAUGGGCGAAAGCCUGAUGCAGCGACGCCGCGUGAGGGAUGACGGCCUUCGGGUUGUAAACCUCUUUCAGCAGGGAAGAAGCGAAAGUGACGGUACCUGCAGAAGAAGCACCGGCUAACUACGUG